CAUCAUUUUAUGCCACAUCAGCAUUUUCGUCCUGAAUUUCAGUAUUUUCAUUCAGAAAAAAAUUAAAUCCAAAUUAAAAUCUUGAAAUUUAGAUAAAAUUACUGAUGUGGCAUAAAAUUAUU
rfam:Gossypium hirsutum cultivar TM-1 chromosome 14, whole genome shotgun sequence